CAAGGCUGAGGCGUGAUGACGAGGCACUACGGUGCUGAAGCGACAAAUGCCCUGCUUCCAGGAAAAGCCUCUAAGCAUCAGGUAACAUCAAAUCGUACCCCAAACCGACACAGGUGGUCAGGUAGAGAAUACCAAGGCGCUUGAGAGAACUCGGGUGAAGGAACUAGGCAAAAUGGUGCCGUAACUUCGGGAGAAGGCACGCUGAUAUGUAGGUGAAGCGACUUGCUCGUGGAGCUGAAAUCAGUCGAAGAUACCAGCUGGCUGCAACUGUUUAUUAAAAACACAGCACUGUGCAAACACGAAAGUGGACGUAUACGGUGUGACGCCUGCCCGGUGCCGGAAG
rnacentral:rRNA from 1 species